UACGUAGGGGGCGAGCGUUGUCCGGAUUUAUUGGGCGUAAAGCGCACGUAGGCGGCUUGGCAAGUCGGAUGUGAAAUCCCUCGGCUCAACCAAGGAAGUGCAUCCGAAACUGCUGAGCUUGAGUACGAAAGAGGAUCGCGGAAUUCCCGGUGUAGAGGUGAAAUUCGUAGAUAUCGGGAGGAACACCAGUGGCGAAGGCGGCGAUCUGGGUCGAUACUGACGCUGAGGUGCGAAAGCGUGGGGAGCAAACAGG
rnacentral:rRNA from 1 species